AACAGCUCUUUAGCACUGUUAUGUAUUAAACCUGCGAUCAUUUAGUGUACACUGCUUGUUGUUUUUAUUAGUUUUUGUAAUAAACCUUCUAAAUUUACACAGUCAGGUGUCCAGGUGCUGGCCCGGGUAUAGCUAACUGAACAAACUGAGGAAUUACAGAGAGCUUCUGUGAAGGAUGGAUGGCCUGCCACCAGAUGGAGAUCGAGAUCUUUUCCCAAAGAAGUCCACGCCGUUUCUUAAGGAAAGCCCAAGAGUAGUCGAAGUUAUUCCCUUCUUUUGCCACUUCAGAUCAUGCGUUCUAAGAGUUUAGUGCCAGGGCCUGCAAAUAUGGAAUCCUGAGUUUACGACCCACUGAAGAGGAAGCCUCGCUUGUGGUUAGCGGAUAAGCAAGUGGUGGAAGACCUGACUGCCAAUCCUGAUUCUGUCACUAACUCGUUGCAUGAUCUUGCGUAAGGAAUUCAGGCUUUGCCACAAUUUCCCUUUCAGGAAAGGGGGAAGGAUUUAAUAGUUUCACAGUAAUGGUUCCUUUUACCAACUCUUCUGGAAACUAUGGAAUAAGUUUAAAUAUAACAGGAUGAAAUGGUAUUCCUAUUUCAUUCUGAAUCAUUAAAGAGAAUUCCAUUUAUGGUAAUCAGCUCCCUCUUUUCACCCUCGG
rnacentral:lncRNA from 1 species